UGGAGAGUUUGAUCCUGGCUCAGAACGAACGCUGGCGGCAGGCCUAACACAUGCAAGUCGAACGCUGUAGCAAUACAGAGUGGCAGACGGGUGAGUAACACGUGGGAAUAUACCCUUUGGUUCGGAAUAACUCAGGGAAACUUGAGCUAAUACCGGAUAAGCGCGAGAGCGGAAAGAUUUAUCGCCGAAGGAUUAGCCCGCGUCUGAUUAGCUAGUUGGUGAGGUAAUGGCUCACCAAGGCGACGAUCAGUAGCUGGUCUGAGAGGAUGAUCAGCCACAUUGGGACUGAGACACGGCCCAAACUCCUACGGGAGGCAGCAGUGGGGAAUAUUGGACAAUGGGCGCAAGCCUGAUCCAGCCAUGCCGCGUGAGUGAUGACGGCCUUAGGGUUGUAAAGCUCUUUUACCUGGGAAGAUAAUGACGGUACCAGGAGAAUAAGCCCCGGCUAACUUCGUGCCAGCAGCCGCGGUA
rnacentral:rRNA from 1 species